rnacentral:sRNA from 1 species
GUUGGACGAAGCGCAUAUUAAGGGAAAAAAAGUGAAGUGAAUUUGAAUUGAAUUUUCAGUUUAUUUUUGAAACUAUAAAAAUUCAAUCUUAAAUGAUGCUGGGUGUCUGUUUUACUGCCAAUCUGUUUCACGCCUCAUCGAGAGCAUAAUAAACCGAAAUAGGUGUCACAUUUUGGAAUCUUCAGUGUGAAGAAGAGGGAAAUAUAAAAUAUUUUGGAAAAAAUUAAAAAAAAAAAAAAAACAACCACGCAGUCAAGAUAAGAAAUAGGGCUAAAAAAUUUUUAUUGCGCUUUUUAUGCAAGGCUCAUCGAAAAAAAUUUGAAAAAAAUAUAUAUAACAACAAACGAAUCGAUACGAAUUGAAUUAAAAUUGGAGAUAUGGUUUAUAUGCAUUGAGUGUUAAUUGUGUUUUAUGCCAAACGAAAUAAAAUUUAAAAAUUUUCUCACGAAAAAUUAAUAAAUUUUUGUAUAAUAACCUGUUAAAGUCAGAUAAUAACAAAAUUAUCAAGGAAUUGAACAAAUCAAAAAUUCUUCAAAAAUAAUUUUAUGAUUUUCCAAAUUCCUGAACAAAAUUCUAAGAAAGAGUGCGUGCUAUAGUGUAACCAGUUUAGUGAAUACUUAAGUGAGUGGUGAGUGAUAUGUGACAAACUAAUGUCGUCGUCUGGCCGUCUUUAAUAAAGUGAAGUCAUUUGACUGACAUUGCUGGUGACAAGUUAAAACUUUAUGAUACUGAUUGUCUACUUCACGAUCACCACUAUUAUAAUGGGACCUUAAUCGGUAGCUCCAGCAGCAGAUACAUAGUUUUGCAAUUUGCGCCGCCUCAGCAGUCAGCAGCAAAGAAGAACAACAACCUCCAAUCCACACACUCGACAACUUAGAAUAAAAAAAAAUUGUCUUCUCCGAAAGCAGGCGGAAAGGAAUUCCGGUAGGUGUUUUAAUGUGUGAUGACACUUGUUCUUCAGACUUUGUUGAUGAACAGCCUACAAUCUGAUGGUUGUGGUUACAAAACUUUCAAAUAUAAUUUAUCGAUGAUAUUGCAAAAUAUCUUUUAUAUAUAAUGAUUAUUGUUCUAAAGGAAUUUUAAUAUGUUCUUAAGGAAUUCUAGCAGCAGCUAGGUCAACAUGGUUUUUGAAUAAGAAACGAUAAAAAUUUCAUCACA